rnacentral:RNase_P_RNA from 1 species
GAGAGAGGAAGGGCGGCUGCCACAACUUUUUGGUCAAGCAGCUUUCUACUUGCGUAGAAAGAGGCUGUUUCUGUGCAACAGAAACGCCUUUUUGCUUGCAAAAAGGUUGCGAGGAAAGUCCCCCCACCGUCUGGACAUACGAGUGCAUGUAAGCGCACAAGGCGAGAGUCUUGGCUCUGGCACAGAAACGAUACCACGCUGCACCAAUGCGAUGAUUCGGAACCGAGGUUCUGAGCGAAGAAUCGAGGAGGAGAGAAUCGCUUUGCGAUUUUUGACGAUGAGGUCGUGCAUGUCGUGGGUGGAACGGCGAAACCUCGUAGGUGCAAGUCAAAGAUGGGCAGAUAAGGAGUCCAGCCGAUGCCCGAGUAUGACGCUCAGAC